AUAAUAAUGGACAUGACUUCGUGGUUGAAAACUAGUAAAAUAAAGAAAAGGUUUUCGGUCGGGCCCGGGUCUCCCUGAUCCUAAUGAAGAAAAAUCUGAGGUGGAAGCUAAUUCUGUUCAAGCUGCAAAUGAUGCUGUCGAUGCCAUUUUAUUAAAAACACCAACAAAAUGAAAAAGAGGGGAAUACGCUGCGUACGAUGAUGAAACAAGAGCAAAAAUCGCAAGAUAUACCGUCAACAAUGGAGUCACUAGAGCCGCCACGACACUUUCGGGACAUCUAGAACAUAAAGUCGCCGAGUCAACGGUCCAAAGCAUGAGAGAUAUCUACAUUAGACAAAAGAAAGAAGGUAAAGUCGACACAAGUUCUCCAACUUUACCAAAAUCGCUCAAGGGUAAUCCAUUACUCCUAGGAGAAACACUGGACAACGAGGUACAAGACUGGGUGACGAUAAUCAGGGUUACCGGGGGUGUUGUCAACGCAAGUAUUGUAAUGGCAGGUGCCGAGGCAAUUGUCAAAAAAUAACAACCCAAAACGCGCGGUACAAAUUAGUAAAAAACGCUGGUCACAUCAACAUAACAAAAUACUUUGCCGUGUCUCUUCUUAGACGCGUGGGCUUUGUGAAAAGAAUGGGGACUACAAGUGUGAAGCAGAUACAUACCGACUUUGAUGAAAUUAAGAAAAAGUAUGUCGAAAAGGUUUCCAAUGUCGUGACGAAAUUUCAAAUACCCGAUUCCUUAAUCAUUAAUUGGGACCAAACAGGGUGCCAUCUUAUACCCGGAGGAGACUGGACAAUAGAUCAGAGAGGGGCGCAACAAGUGAGCAUAACUGGAUUGGACGACAAUCGUCAAAUAACGCUCCUUUUGGCAAUCAACAAGUCGGGUUCAUUAUUAUCUCCCCAACUUAUCUAUGCGGGUAAGUCUGAUAGGUGUUGAUUUUCCAUCGUCAUGGGAUAUGUCAUACACAGAAUCUCAUUGGAGUAACGAAGAAACUAUGGUUAGAUUCGUCGAAAACAUUAUCACUCCAUAUGUCAAUGGAAUCCGCGAGUCCCUGCCGUUCUCAAAAUGUAAUCAAGAGGCCGUGACCACUUUCGACGUGUACACAGCUCAUCAAAGCCCAAAACUGUUAGAAUUGCUUAAACAAAAUAAAAUCAUUCCACUAUUUGUUCCUGCGUGCUGUACUGAUAAACUAAAAAGGGCAUUUCACGAUUGGUACACAGAGAAAGUUUGUGACGAUUCUGAGUCUACCAUAGUUGAUCUCCGCACUUCAGUGGUCAAACCAAUUCAUGCGCGUUGGGUAAUUAGCACCCAUGAAGCGAUGGAAGAAAAAGAGGUACUAAUUAUGAAGGGAUUCGAAAAAGCAGGACUUGUUUAACUACUAUUAACUAAAUUUCUUUUUUGUCUCUUUGUAUGAUAAACGAUUAAACGCUAGCUUACUAUUAACUACUAGUGUGUUUAUCACGUCUUCAUGGUAAUGAUUCACUUUACUACCGAGGGACUUUUGCAUAUACUAUUUACACCUGUUCAAUUUAUAUGUAAAUAAUAUGUCAAAUGAAAAUAAAUAUCAUUAAUUU
rnacentral:sRNA from 1 species